GCUGCCUGUGACCCCAUCUGAUUAAAAUUAGAAAUAUUCUAUUUGCACACCUUUAUCAGGAAAAGAACUAAAAUUCAAUACAAAACUCUUGCCUAUUUAAAUAAAUUCUAUAUACAUUAAUGGGGGAAAAAAGAAAAGGAAGAAAUGAACUUUUGAGUAUAAUCUUGCCUCUCAAUCUCGAAUCACCAGUUCAGUCCCAUUCUCAACUUCUAAAUUCAAACUCCUUCUGCGUCUGCUUACGUAUCUACCAAACCCAGAACUCGAGUGACUGGAACUUCUACUGAUAGAACCAGAUUCAGGAUCAGGAUGCAAACUCGAAGUAGUAGUGGUAGCAGAAGAAGAAUUAGACCCCAUCCUCCUAAAAAACGAAACCAACCCACGAAAAACCCUCCUAAA
rnacentral:misc_RNA from 1 species